rnacentral:rRNA from 1 species
UAAUACGAGGGGGGCAAAUGUUGUUCGGAAUCACUGGGCGUAAAGGGAGCGUAGGCGGGUGUUUAAGUUAGGUGUUUAAUCCCAGGGCCCAACCCUGGUCAGGCACCUAAAACUGGACAUCUUGAAUAGUGGAGAGGACGACGGAAUUGGGGGUGUAGCGGUGGAAUGCGUAGAGAUCCCCAAGAACACCAGUUGCGAAGGCGGUCGUCUGGACACAUAUUGACGCUGAGGCUCGAAAGCAUGGGGAGCAAACAGG